UCCAGAGAUAUCCUGAACACAACACCACGCACAUCGUGUUCUUGUUUCUGCUUCUCUCCCAAAAGAAACAGGAGCUUCGAGUACCCUCCCAAAUUCUCGCCGCCGACUUCUCCCCUCUCUUCCCCGGUGAACGCGGGAUUUGAGUUGGGCAAGCAUCCCGCAUGAGAUAGUUGUGCUUGUAAUUAGGGUCUGAAUCAAUUGGAUUUGGCAUCAAGAUUUCGUCGGUGUAUUUCCAUCAGAUCUGGCCAUGCAGGCCGCCGGAGACGGAGAUGAUAGUGAUGGUUGUUGCCAUAUCCGAGUCUGUUCGAUAUAGCCCUUUUUUCUAUGUUGCCCAUGGAGGAUUAGAGGCUACCAGCGGCAGGACUAGCAUGAGUAGGCCUAGGUGUUGCGGGCGCGGAGGAUUUCUGAAGGUGGUGAGCUACUCAUUCCCGGCGGCGCCCAGUGCCAAACUGAACAAUUGAACAUAGAAGACGAGUAAUUUCAGGAUAGAGGGCAGCCUCGCAGAUUGGCGCUGUUGCUAGGGACAGCAAGGGCCACGUUUUUGUCUCUGUAUGCAGAAUGCUGACCCCCAGUCAAAGUGUUGAGGAGGCCGAGGCAAAAUCUGCCCUCGCCGGACUGCAUGCUCUUGCAAAAUACUACAGCGGGCCUUUGAUCCUGGAGAUGGAUUGCCAUGCAAUCAUAAAAGAGCUAGCUGCGGGAGACCAAUCCAGAUUACAGUGCUAUGCCCUGAUCAAGGAUAUUAAACAAGCACUCUCAGUUUUUUCAGCUUGCAGUGUCAGCCAUGUGGUAAGAACUUGCAAUGCUCGUGCUCAUGAGCUUGCAGCAGCAACCAAAAAUGUCAGCGACCAGGAGAUCAUCGCAAACGUCCCGGAUAAACUCCGUCCACUGAUGAUGUCUGAAUUUGGGAGAUUUGGUAUGAGCCCAUUCGUCGCAUCUUUCACAAUUUGGAGUUAUCAGCUGUGAAAGUCGCAGGCCAGGCAACUUCACAACGCCGAUGCUGAAAGGAUGAUGAUGCAUGGCACGUCAUUUAGCAUAGUAGUCUAGCUUAAUGAACCCUGAUCAUUUUGUUUGUACUUUUAUAUAACUCUCUUAUGCAUGCAAGUUUUGUAUUAAGCGUUUUUAUUUUGUGUUUUCCUUUUUCAUGUGAGUUCUCUUGAUCAGUUACUGAUUGUGAUAUGUUUUGAGACUAAUAUACUUAGCAAAUUAUUUUAGCAAUA